rnacentral:rRNA from 1 species
ACCCCUGUGACAUACCUAUACGUUGCCUCGGCGGAUCAGCCCGCGCCCCGUAAAACGGGACGGCCCGCCCGAGGACCCCUAAACUCUGUUUUUAGUGGAACUUCUGAGUAAAACAAACAAAUAAAUCAAAACUUUCAACAACGGAUCUCUUUGGCUCUGGCAUCGAUGAAGAACGCAGCGAAAUGCGAUAAGUAAUGUGAAUUGCAGAAUUCAGUGAAUCAUCGAAUCUUUGAACGCACAUUGCGCCCGCCAGUAUUCUGGCGGGCAUGCCUGUUCGAGCGUCAUUACAACCCUCAGGCCCCCGGGCCUGGCGUUGGGGAUCGGCGGAAGCCCCCUGCGGGCACAACGCCGUCCCCCAAAUACAGUGGCGGUCCCGCCGCAGCUUCCAUUGCGUAGUAGCUAACACCUCGCAACUGGAGAGCGGCGCGGCCACGCCGUAAAACACCCAACUUCUGAAUGUUGACCUCGAAUCAGGUAGGAAUACCCGCUGAACUUAAGCA